UUUUUCGUUGUAGCAAUACGAUGGAAAGUCUAGCGGCGAACGGGUGCUUAACACGUGGGCAACCUGCCGUGAAGUGGGGGAUAGCUCGCCGAAAGGCGAAUUAAUACCGCAUGUGAUUAGAGAGGACAUCCUUUCGAAAUUAAAGUCGGGGCAACCUGACGCUUCUUGUGGGGCCCGCGGCCUAUCAGCUUGUUGGUGAGGUAACGGCUCACCAAGGCUUUGACGGGUAGCUGGUCUGAGAGGACGACCAGCCACACUGGGACUGAGACACGGCCCAGACACCUACGGGUGGCAGCAGUCGAGAAUUUUUGACAAUGGGGGAAACCCUGAUCGAGCGACGCCGCGUGGAGGAUGAAGGUCUUCGGAUUGUAAACUCCUGUCAUUGGGGAACAAGGUGCAUACGUUAACUGCGUGUGCAGUGAUAGUACCCGAAGAGGAAGAGACGGCUAACUCUGUGCCAGCAGCCGCGGUAAUACAGAGGUCUCAAGCGUUGUUCGGAUUCAUUGGGCGUAAAGGGUGCGUAGGCGGCGCGGUAAGUCGGGUGUGAAAUCUCGGAGCUUAACUCCGAAACUGCAUUCGAUACUGCCGUGCUUGAGGACUGGAGAGGAGACUGGAAUUUACGGUGUAGCGGUGAAAUGCGUAGAUAUCGUAAGGAAGACCAGUGGCGAAGGCGGGUCUCUGGACAGUUCCUGACGCUGAGGCACGAAGGCCAGGGGAGCAAACGGGAUUAGAUACCCCGGUAGUCCUGGCAGUAAACGGUGCACGUUUGGUGUGGGAGGAUUCGACCCCUUCUGCGCCGGAGCUAACGCGUUAAACGUGCCGCCUGGGGAGUACGGUCGCAAGAUU
rnacentral:rRNA from 1 species